GUAGGUGAACCUGCGGAAGGAUCAUUACCUUUUGUAAAAUCUCUUUGGCUUUAUUGCCAAUGUCGGGAGCGCUUUGUAAGUCUGGGUGCGGUUUAACCACUGACAACAGCGGAGCCUCUGACUGGACCCUUGUCUUUUGUGUACCUUAUGUUUCCUCGGCGGGCUUGCCCGCCGAUCGGACAAAACUAAAACCUUUUUAAUUUUCAAUCAGCGUCUGAAAAAAUUUAAUAAUUACAACUUUCAACAACGG
rnacentral:misc_RNA from 1 species